AGUUUGAUCCUGGCUCAGGAUGAACGCUAGCUACAGGCUUAACACAUGCAAGUCGAGGGGAAACGAUAUUGGAAGCUUGCUUCCGAUAGGCGUCGACCGGCGCACGGGUGAGUAACGCGUAUCCAACCUGCCCAUCACUUGGGGAUAACCUUGCGAAAGUAAGACUAAUACCCAAUGACGUCUCUAGAAGACAUCUGAAAGAGAUUAAAGAUUUAUCGGUGAUGGAUGGGGAUGCGUCUGAUUAGCUUGUUGGCGGGGUAACGGCCCACCAAGGCGACGAUCAGUAGGGGUUCUGAGAGGAAGGUCCCCCACAUUGGAACUGAGACACGGUCCAAACUCCUACGGGAGGCAGCAGUGAGGAAUAUUGGUCAAUGGACGAGAGUCUGAACCAGCCAAGUAGCGUGCAGGAUGACGGCCCUAUGGGUUGUAAACUGCUUUUAUAAGGGAAUAAAGUGAGUCUCGUGAGACUUUUUGCAUGUACCUUAUGAAUAAGGACCGGCUAAUUCCGUGCCAGCAGCCGCGGUAAUACGGAAGGUCCGGGCGUUAUCCGGAUUUAUUGGGUUUAAAGGGAGCGUAGGCCGGAGAUUAAGCGUGUUGUGAAAUGUAGACGCUCAACGUCUGCACUGCAGCGCGAACUGGUUUCCUUGAGUACGCACAAAGUGGGCGGAAUUCGUGGUGUAGCGGUGAAAUGCUUAGAUAUCACGAAGAACUCCGAUUGCGAAGGCAGCUCACUGGAGCGCAACUGACGCUGAAGCUCGAAAGUGCGGGUAUCGAACAGGAUUAGAUACCCUGGUAGUCCGCACGGUAAACGAUGGAUGCCCGCUGUUGGUCUGAAUAGGUCAGCGGCCAAGCGAAAGCAUUAAGCAUCCCACCUGGGGAGUACGCCGGCAACGGUGAAACUCAAAGGAAUUGACGG
rnacentral:rRNA from 1 species